rnacentral:siRNA from 1 species
UGGUGACUGUGGCGGCAGGACU